UACAGAGGGUGCAAGCGUUGUUCGGAAUUACUGGGCGUAAAGGGCGCGUAGGCGGCCUUCUAAGUCGGACGUGAAAUCCCUCGGCUUAACCGAGGAACUGCGUCCGAUACUGAAAGGCUUGAAUCCGGGAGAGGGAUGUGGAAUUCCAGGUGUAGCGGUGAAAUGCGUAGAUAUCUGGAGGAACACCGGUGGCGAAGGCGGGAUCCUGGGCCAGUACUGACGCUGAGGAGCGAAAGCGUGGGGAGCAAACAGG
rnacentral:rRNA from 1 species